GGCUGCUGGCCUGAUGGAGCUUGGUUACAUUGACUUUGCUGUGGGGGGAGAGAGAGAGAGAGAGUGGCAUGACAUCACUGGGUGGUGUUCCAGGAGCCCCACGCCAGAUGGACAGUGGUGGAGGACCAGGGCCCUCUGUGUCUCUGCAGUGUGUGUGUGUGUGUGUGUGUGUGUGUGUGUGAGAGAGAGAGAGAGAGAGAGAGAGAGAUGGCUAUCUACCUUCUGCUGGGCUUGUCCAAGGUAUAGUGGGGGGUUGCUGCAGUUUAUGGAUCAUUUGGCCUGCUGGAAAGUUGAUUUAAAUGUAUUGUGUGUGUGAAAAGCUUUGCAAACUUGGAAAUCGGCUGUUUUGUUAGCAGUCCUUGUAGAAACAUGGCCUGGGAAGGGAGAGCAUUUUAAAGUAGAAGUAAAUGUCAUACAGCAAGUCCUUGACUUAUGACCACAGUUGAGCCGGAAAAUACCUGUUGCUUAAGCGAGAGACAUAUAUAAAGUGCAUUUUGUCCCAUUUUACCACCUUCCUUGCCACAUUUGUUAAGUGAAUUACUGCAGCCUUUAAGUUAGUCCCACGGUCAUUAAGUGAAUCUGGCUUCCUUGUCAACCUUGUCAGAAGGUCGCCAAAGGGGAUGACAUAACCCCGGGGACUCUGCAACUGUCAUAAAUAUGAGUCUGUUGCUGAGCGUCUGAAUUCUGAUCAGGGGACCCUGGAGAUGUAGAAGUGUGAAAAAUGGCCUUACUUUUUCCAGUGCCAUGGGUAACUGUGAGCGGCCACUAAACGAACCGUCGUAAUUCAAGGACUACCUGUAAUAAUUUGCUUCCUGGGUGCCGGGUGUCUGAGAAAAGGUUUUGGAGCCGAGACCCUGUGGAAGCAUCCGGGAGGGUGAAACUGCCAGCAGCUUGUAAAAUACCCAGCCUCCUUUUUGAAUUUAAAAAUAAAAACACCAGCCAUUCAUACUCGGUUUCUGGUUUCUCUGCAUGUGAUUUGCAUUUCUUUGUGCAGAUCUGGUACUUGGGGAAAAACCAUUCCUGCAAUGGUUGAAUUUUAUUUUAUUUGCAAGGUUUUGUGAGGUUUUUUUUUUGGAUUUUUAAAAAAUUGGUCAAAAAUCAAGGUUUUUCUUUUAACUGUCCUGGGUGCCCGAUUUAACCUUUGCUCCCUAAAGCAUCACUUUGAAGGAAAAUGGGCUUGGGGGCUUUUAAUUUAACUCUUUGGUAGAGCCGGAAAUGGUUUGGCCCUUUCUUGUUCUCUCAUUUGGCUCUGCAGUUUUGGCAGAAAGCUGCCCCUCCUUCACCAGGUUCCUCGCUUUGGAAUCUGGCCCUUAUUUCCUCUGAUCUUUUCACUGGGUUGGACAUUGAUUUGCAGACCUGAUGCCAACUGA
rnacentral:lncRNA from 1 species